rnacentral:rRNA from 1 species
CCUACGGGUGGCAGCAGUGAGGAAUAUUGGUCAAUGGGCGCGAGCCUGAACCAGCCAAGUCGCGUGAGGGAGGACGGCCCUACGGGUUGUAAACCUCUUUUGCCGGGGAGCAACGGGCGCCACGUGUGGCGUCACGGAGAGUACCCGGAGAAAAAGCAUCGGCUAACUCCGUGCCAGCAGCCGCGGUAAUACGGAGGAUGCGAGCUUUAUCCGGAUUUAUUGGGUUUAAAGGGUGCGUAGGCGGUUCGUAAGGUCUGUGGUCAAUUUGAGGGGCUAAACCCCUUCCCGCCAUUGAAACUGGCGUUCUUGAGUGGAAGAGAAGUAUGCGGAAUGCGUGGUGUAGCGGUGAAAUGCAUAGAUAUCACGCAGAACCCCGAUUGCGAAGGCAGCAUGCCGGCUUCCGACUGACGCUGAAGCACGAAAGCGUGGGGAUCGAACAGGAUUAGAUACCCCAGUAGUC